rnacentral:rRNA from 1 species
AAAAGUUUGAAUCUGGCUUUUUAAUUGACUUUUACUAAAUAUAACAUGCAUGUAAAACCUAUUAACCCCAAGACAUACAAAAAGGGUCUAAUAUUAGGCCCUUCUUUUUCUUGCCUACAGCAACAAAUAUUGAGUUAAUUAUUUUCAAGAUAGAUCCAAUUAUAGUGAUUUAGAAUGGGGAAAGCUUAUGCCAGCAGCCGCGGUUAGAUCUGCUUAAAUUCAAGUUAAUAAUUUUCGGGGAAGUGAAAUUAAUUUUAUUUGAGAUUUAAAACAAAGUUCCUCUUAGGGAUUCCAUCCAAAUUGAUACUGUUUACUCUUAUUUUUCUUAUUUAUUUUUCACGACCGUCUACACAAAAACAAGGAUUAGAGACCCUUUUAUUGUUGACCUUAAAUUUCUUCACCCAGGGCACUAUUAUCACAUGAUAUAAACCCAAAGAUCUUGGCGGUGUCUCAUACUACUCAGGGGAGCCUGUCUCUGAAACUGAUGAUCCGCAUUAUUCCCUACCUUUCCUUGAUCCUUUAUUCCCAGCUUAUACAUCGCCGUCGAAAAUUUAUCUAAAAAAGAGAAAAAAUAUGGUUUUGUGGGCUCUCUCCCCCUUACGUCAGGUCGACAUGUAGCUUAUGGAAAGGAGCAGAUGGGCUACAUUUUUUUAUAAAUUGGAAUACAUUUUAAAAUAUGUAAGAAAUUGGACUUGAGAGUAAUUUGUCCGUUUUACACACAUAAAUGAACAUGCUCGCUGAGACGUGUACAAAUCGCCCGUCGCUCCCGUCGAAAGAUGGGAUAAGUCGUAACAUAGUAGGCGUAGCGGAAGCUGUGCCUAAAAUCUA